AAAGAAAAUUUUGAAGGUACGUGAGGCCUCCUCUACUGUGCGAUAAGAACUGCUUGCUGCGACCUGGACACAGGCCACACCAGCACUGCCACCUGCACAGCCACCGCAGGGCAUUUCCUCUGGCCAGCGGUCCCUUGCUCUGUUGUCCACUGCUCCACUCCAUCUUCAAGAGCCAGAGUGCAGCAGGAGUCUCUCACUCCUCUGCUGGACGGACGUGUUGACUCAGCCCGUGCAGUGAGGCCGUGCACAGGGAUGAAUGGUACACAGACACUUCACACGAUAAUGCGUUCCAGAUCAGAGCCGGCAACCAGGACACUGAGGUAGAGGCUGGCAUUUCCUGGAUGAAGUAACCCCUUCCUUGUGUGCAGAAGACUGUGUGUUUUGGGAGCGCUGGUUCCCUGGGAGAAGUUCCACCAGCUCACCAGGAAUUUGCAUAUUUGUGAGGAGGCGCUUCCUGUCUGUACUGGCAGCCAAGACAGAAGAAUAAUGCUGGGUCAUGGUGGGAGAGGACUUUAUGGAGCUGGUGAUCAUGAUGCUGGAUCUUGAAGGGUGAGCACAAGUUCACCAGGAAGAGCUUGAAGGAAGUGAGGUGACGGGAACAGGAGCAACAGAAUCUGGGGUACCAGGGGCAUCGUUCGGCAGAGGAGGGUGGCCUGUGAUGAGAUGGAAAAGCUAAGGUGAGGCCAUCUUUUGGGAGAUGCUAAAUGCCACCCUCGAGGAGUUAGGCUUUACUCUGUGAAAGAAGUCCUAGACGGCUUUGCCCAGGGGAUGGAUGUAGUCUGACCUGUGACCGAGCCAGCAGCCUCUGCAGCAUGUGGAACUGUGUUGUGGAGUGGGAGACGCUGAUGCUGAGGAAAGAGCUGAGUCCACCGGGAACUUCCGAGUGGGAGGCACAGUGGGUCCCGUUGACCUCUGAGAAGACUGCAAACUCUGAGAUUGUAUAAUCUGCAACAACCACAUUUGAAAAGGCUGUGAAUCUUUCAAGAAAAAGCCACAUCUGAGGAUCCUUCACAUUUGUGAGGAUGAAUAAAGACAAAAUGUCAAGUUUAUUACCUGAACAUUUUAGAAGGAGAAAACAUUCAAAAAUUGCACACAACAUCUGUGAUACAUGGUGUGGACUCAGACAUAAGAGAGAACAGGAAAAGAAUGGGGAAAAAAGACACUAUUAGAGAAAAACAAGACUCUCCUCAAAAUAUGUUGCUUCUUACCCACCUUGGCUGUGACCAUCUCUUCAGUGACACAGAUGUGCAGUGGAGAGGCCAGGGAACAUCCCUUUAAGUGGACAAUCCAGAAAAACCGUGUUAGACUCUCUGUCAGCCGCCCCCCCAAUUUCAAUUAGUUUUAAUACAAAGUUGCAAUAAUAAGGUUGUAAUGUAAAUUAUGCAUACACCUUGGUUUUUUCUCUGGCUUAAUUUUAACCCUUGACCAUUUGGCCUUCUGUAGAAUGUACCUUUAGCUACACCAGGUCUGUCCAGAAAGUAUUCAGCCACGUAACAUGAAAACUAGAGACACCUAUUGAAGAAGAUACAAGACACAUUGUACCCAGGACGAUGAUGCCUCAGUCCCCUUCAAAGUAGGCACCUUGGGACCUCACACAGUUCUCCCAAUCUUCAUCAGCUGCCCCAUCGGAUUUUCCUGAGUCUCAUUGAUGAUCUGAAAUUUCUUUCCUUUCAAAGGUGAUUUUAGUUUUGGGAAAAGCCAGAAGUCACAGGGUGCCAAAUAUAGUCUAUAGGGAGCACGAGUCACCUGGGUGAUUUGAUGUUUUGCCAAAAAUCUCUGUAUGAGAUGUGAUGCAUGAGCAGGCACGUGGUCGUGAUGAAGCUGCCAGUCACCAGUUGCCCACAGCUGUGGCCUUCUGAAUCAUCUGAGUAGUUUCCACAGAGGAAUGUUCAAGCUUAAUGUGAAGUUUGAUGCAAAUCUGUUGCUCUACUCACUCAGUCAUUUUGAAUGCGGUGGCCACACAGUACACAUGCUCCCUCAACAGCAUCUACCACCCCCACUGUCUAGUACAGUGAAGUCAUCCUUGUUCACAAAUGUGCACCCCAGUCCACUCUCCUUGGCUGCCAGGUUACAUCGAUUUCAUGCAAGCCGUUUUUGUUGUAUUAACAAUGGCUGGACUUUUUCUGGACAGACCUCAUAAAUUGAAAACCAUUUCUCUCAUUCUGUUCUUGUAUGUAACCACUGAGUCUACUAUAUGUUUUUUAGACUUUUGAAAUGUAGCUACAAAAUACUUGUGUUUUUUUUUGCAAUAAUUGAAUUGUACCAUAGUACUUUCCAAUAAUUUCCUAUUUGUCACUCAAUAUUUUAAUACAAACAUCUCUCCACCAGACUACAUAUCGCUGUAGUUUGUAAUGACUGCUUAUAUUCCAAAAUGUGAAUGUGACAUUAUUUAUUUAAUCAAUCAUUAGUUGAAGAACGUAUAAAGAACUAUUUUCAAUCUUUAUCCAUUGUAAGGAAAG